UUGAACGCUGGCGGCAGGCCUAACACAUGCAAGUCGAACGGUAACAGGAAGAAGCUUGCUUCUUUGCUGACGAGUGGCGGACGGGUGAGUAAUGUCUGGGAAACUGCCUGAUGGAGGGGGAUAACUACUGGAAACGGUAGCUAAUACCGCAUAACGUCGCAAGACCAAAGAGGGGGACCUUCGGGCCUCUUGCCAUCGGAUGUGCCCAGAUGGGAUUAGCUAGUAGGUGGGGUAACGGCUCACCUAGGCGACGAUCCCUAGCUGGUCUGAGAGGAUGACCAGCCACACUGGAACUGAGACACGGUCCAGACUCCUACGGGAGGCAGCAGUGGGGAAUAUUGCACAAUGGGAGCAAGCCUGAUGCAGCCAUGCCGCGUGUAUGAAGAAGGCCUUCGGGUUGUAAAGUACUUUCAGCGGGGAGGAAGGGAGUAAAGUUAAUACCUUUGCUCAUUGACGUUACCCGCAGAAGAAGCACCGGCUAACUCCGUG
rnacentral:rRNA from 1 species